UACGUAGGUGGCAAGCGUUAUCCGGAAUUAUUGGGCGUAAAGCGCUCGCAGGCGGUUUCUUAAGUCUGAUGUGAAAGCCCACGGCUCAACCGUGGAGGGUCAUUGGAAACUGGGAGACUUGAGUGCAGAAGAGGAGAGUGGAAUUCCGACGUGUAGCGGUGAAAUGACGUAGAUAUCAGCAGGAACACCCGUGGCGAAGGCGGCUUCCUGGGCCGCCCCUGACGCUGACGGCGGCG
rnacentral:rRNA from 1 species